GACGAACGCUGGCGGCGUGCUUAACACAUGCAAGUCGAACGGUGAAGCGCCUUCCUUUUUGGUGGGUGUGGAUGAGUGGCGAACGGGUGAGUAACACGUGAGUAACCUGCCCCCUUCUUCUGGAUAACCGCAUGAAAGUGUGGCUAAUACGGGAUAUUCUGGGUCUGUCGCAUGAUGGGUCUGGGAAAGAUAUUGUUUCGGUGGGGGAUGGGCUCGCGGCCUAUCAGCUUGUUGGUGGGGUGAUGGCCUACCAAGGCGGUGACGGGUAGCCGGCCUGAGAGGGUGGCCGGUCACACUGGGACUGAGGCACGGCCCAGACUCCUACGGGACGCAGCAGUGGGGAAUAUUGCACAAUGGGCGCAAGCCUGAUGCAGCGACGCCGCGUGAGGGAUGGAGGCCUUCGGGUUGUGAACCCCUUUCGCCAGUGAAGCAGGCCUGCCUCGUUUGUGGGUGGGUUGACGGUAGCUGGAUAAGAAGCGCCGGCUAACUACGUG
rnacentral:rRNA from 1 species